rnacentral:tRNA from 1 species
GCGGAUAUAGUUUAAUGGUAAAACAUCUCCUUGCCAAGGAGAGGACGCGGGUUCGAUUCCCGCUAUCCGCC